rnacentral:rRNA from 1 species
UCGAGGAUCUUCGGCAAUGCGCGCAAGCGCGACCGAGCGACGCCGCGUGGGCGACGAAGGCCUUCGGGUUGUAAAGCCCUGUCGAGGGGGAGAAAAGCCGAAAGGCGUGAUCUAUCCCUGGAGGAAGCUCGGGCUAAGUUCGUGCCAGCAGCCGCGGUAAGACGAACCGAGCGAACGUUGUUCGGAAUCACUGGGCUUAAAGGGCGCGUAGGCGGGCUGCCGAGUCCGGGGUGAAAGCCCCCCGCUCAACGGGGGAACGGCCUCGGAUACUGGCGGUCUGGAGGCGGGUAGGGGCAGGCGGAACUGUGGGUGGAGCGGUGAAAUGCGUUGAGAUCCACAGGAACUCCGGUGGCGAAGGCGGCCUGCUGGACCCGAACUGACGCUGAGGCGCGAAAGCCAGGGGAGCGAACGGGAUUAGAUACCCCCGUAGUCC